UACAGAGGUCCCGAGCGUUGUUCGGAUUCACUGGGCGUAAAGGGUGCGUAGGUGGCGAGGUAAGUCGGAUGUGAAAGCUCGGAGCUCAACUCCGAAAUGGCAUUGGAAACUACCUUGCUCGAGGGUUGGAGGGGGGACUGGAAUACUUGGUGUAGCAGUGAAAUGCGUAGAUAUCAAGUGGAACACCAGUGGCGAAGGCGAGUCCCUUGACAACUCCUGACACUGAGGCACGAAAGCUAGGGGAGCAAACAGG
rnacentral:rRNA from 1 species